rnacentral:rRNA from 1 species
GACGAACGCUGGCGGCGUGCUUAACACAUGCAAGUCGAACGAAGAGCGAUGGAAGCUUGCUUCUAUCAAUCUUAGUGGCGAACGGGUGAGUAACGCGUAAUCAACCUGCCCUUCAGAGGGGGACAACAGUUGGAAACGACUGCUAAUACCGCAUACGAUCUAAUCUCGGCAUCGAGGAUAGAUGAAAGGUGGCCUCUACAUGUAAGCUAUCACUGAAGGAGGGGAUUGCGUCUGAUUAGCUAGUUGGAGGGGUAACGGCCCACCAAGGCGAUGAUCAGUAGCCGGUCUGAGAGGAUGAACGGCCACAUUGGGACUGAGACACGGCCCAGACUCCUACGGGAGGCAGCAGUGGGGGAUCUUCCGCAAUGGACGAAAGUCUGACGGAGCAACGCCGCGUGAGCGAUGACGGCCUUCGGGUUGUAAAGCUCUGUUAAUCGGGACGAAAGGCCUUCUUGCGAAUAGGGAGAAGGAUUGACGGUACCGGAAUAGAAAGCCACGGCUAACUACGUG